rnacentral:rRNA from 1 species
UACGGGGGGGCAAGCGUUGUUCGGAAUUAUCUGGGCGUAAAGAGCUCGUAGGCGGUCUGUUGCGUCGGCUGUGAAAACCCGGGGCUCAACUCCGGGCCUGCAGCCGAUACGGGCAGACUAGAGUUCGGUAGGGGAGAGUCGGAAUUCCUGGUGUAGCGGUGAAAAUGCGCAGAUAUCAGGAGGAACACCGGUGGCGAAGGCGGCCGACUGGGCCGACCCUGACGCUGAGGCGCGAAGGCGUGGGAGCGAACGGG